rnacentral:rRNA from 1 species
GACAUACUAAGAACUUUCCAGAGAUGGAUUGGUGCCUUCGGGAACUUAGAUACAGGUGCUGCAUGGCUGUCGUCAGCUCGUGUCGUGAGAGUGUUGGGUUAAGUCCCGNAACGAGCGCAACCCUUUUCCUUAUUUGCCAGCGGGUCAUGCCGGGAACUUUAAGGAUACUGCCAGUGACAAACUGGAGGAAGGCGGGGACGACGUCAAGUCAUCAUGGCCCUUACGGCCAGGGCUACACACGUGCUACAAUGGUCGGUACAAAGGGUUGCUACCUCGCGAGAGGAUGCUAAUCUCAAAAAGCCGAUCGUAGUCCGGAUCGCAGUCUGCAACUCGACUGCGUGAAGUCGGAAUCGCUAGUAAUCGCGGAUCAGAAUGCCGCGGUGAAUACGUUCCCGGGCCUUGUACACACCGCCCGUCACACCAUGGGAGUUUGUUGCACCAGAAGUAGGUAGUCUAACCGCAAGGAGGACGCUUACCACGGUGUGGCCGAUGACUGGGGUGAAGUCGUAACAAGGUAGGCGUAGAUGA